CUACCACAGGCUGCGGGGGCGCAUAGUCUUCAUUGGGGUGAUAGCGUUUCAUUUUAAAGUCCUUUGGGACUCGAAAGAAAAGAAACAGAAGAGCUCUAGGUGAGCCAAACAGGACACAUUUCCAGCCAACACCCGCACUUGGCGAAUACCAAAUAAAUAAUAAUCCCAGUCGUGGAUCACUUCACCACGAAAAGACUGCCGCCGGAACCGGGCAACAAAAUGGCGGCCGCACCCCUCAGAACGGCGCCACCGUUAGCUAGCGGUGCUAACGCUAACCUCCCCGCCCCAGUGACACCCAACACGGUGGACCGCGGACAGGAACACCAGGAACACGGAGCACAACGCCCACGAUGUUAGUUUUUUUUUUUGCCAGCCGAACAGCUCGACCUGGGACUCAAAAUUUACCUUUCCGCCUCUGGCACAACAAAGAAUGUUUAAACUGCCGCACUGAGGCAGACGCUCUGUGGCGAAGCUCUGCUGGAAAGACGGCCAAAAGAAGGAUCUUCACUUUUUACGCGGAUAAAAAAAACAAACAAAAAAAAA